rnacentral:misc_RNA from 1 species
GAUGAAGAACGCAGCGAAAUGCGAUAAGUAAUGUGAAUUGCAGAAUUCAGCGAAUCAUCGAAUCUUUGAACGCACAUUGCGCCCGGUAGUAUUCUGCCGGGCAUGCCUGUUCGAGCGUCAUUUCAACCAUCAAGCCCCAGCGCUUGUGUUGGGGGCCUGCGGCUGCCGCAGCCCCCUAAAAGCAGUGGCGGGCUCGCUAUCACACCGAGUGCAGUAGUUCAUCUUCUCUCCGGUCUUGUGAGGCGGGUUCCGGCCGUGAAACACCCCACUACAUUCAAGGUUGACCUCGGAUCAGGUAGGAAUACCCGCUGAACUUAAGCAUAUCAAUAAGCGGAGGA